GUGGGGAAUAUUGGACAAUGGGCGAAAGCCUGAUCCAGCCAUGCCGCGUGUGUGAAGAAGGUCUUCGGAUUGUAAAGCACUUUAAGUUGGGAGGAAGGGCAGUAAGUUAAUACCUUGCUGUUUUGACGUUACCGACAGAAUAAGCACCGGCUAACUUCGUGCCAGCAGCCGCGGUAAUACGAAGGGUGCAAGCGUUAAUCGGAAUUACUGGGCGUAAAGCGCGCGUAGGUGGUUUUGUAAGUUGGAGGUGAAAUCCCCGGGCUCAACCUGGGAACUGCCUCCAAAACUGCAUGACUAGAGUACGGUAGAGGGUAGUGGAAUUUCCUGUGUAGCGGUGAAAUGCGUAGAUAUAGGAAGGAACGCCAGUGGCGAAGGCGACUACCUGGACUGAUACUGACACUGAGGUGCGAAAGCGUGGGGAGCAAACAGGAUUAGAUACCCUAGUAGUCC
rnacentral:rRNA from 1 species